GAGUUUGAUCCUGGCUCAGGACGAACGCUGGCGGCGUGCCUAAUACAUGCAAGUCGAGCGAAGAGAUGGGAGCUUGCUCCCUGAUCUUAGCGGCGGACGGGUGAGUAACACGUGGGCAACCUGCCCUGCAGACUGGGAUAACUCCGGGAAACCGGAGCUAAUACCGGGUAAUACAUCGCACCGCAUGGUGCAAUGUUGAAAGUUGGCUUUCUGAGCUAACACUGCAGGAUGGGCCCGCGGCGCAUUAGCUAGUUGGUAAGGUAAUGGCUUACCAAGGCGACGAUGCGUAGCCGACCUGAGAGGGUGAUCGGCCACACUGGGACUGAGACACGGCCCAGACUCCUACGGGAGGCAGCAGUAGGGAAUCUUCCGCAAUGGACGAAAGUCUGACGGAGCAACGCCGCGUGAGUGACGAAGGCCUUCGGGUCGUAAAGCUCUGUUGUUAGGGAAGAACAAGUACCGUUCGAAUAGGGCGGUACCUUGACGGUACCUAACCAGAAAGCCACGGCUAACUACGUGCCAGCAGCCGCGGUAAUACGUAGGUGGCAAGCGUUGUCCGGAAUUAUUGGGCGUAAAGCGCGCGCAGGCGGUCUUUUAAGUCUGAUGUGAAAGCCCACGGCUCAACCGUGGAGGGUCAUUGGAAACUGGAGGACUUGAGUGCAGAAGAGGAGAGUGGAAUUCCACGUGUAGCGGUGAAAUGCGUAGAUAUGUGGAGGAACACCAGUGGCGAAGGCGGCUCUCUGGUCUGUAACUGACGCUGAGGCGCGAAAGCGUGGGGAGCAAACAGGAUUAGAUACCCUGGUAGUCCACGCCGUAAACGAUGAGUGCUAGGUGUUGGGGGGUUCCACCCUCAGUGCUGAAGUUAACACAUUAAGCACUCCGCCUGGGGAGUACGACCGCAAGGUUGAAACUCAAAGGAAUUGACGGGGGCCCGCACAAGCAGUGGAGCAUGUGGUUUAAUUCGAAGCAACGCGAAGAACCUUACCAGGUCUUGACAUCCUCUGACAAUCCUGGAGACAGGACGUUCCCCUUCGGGGGACAGAGUGACAGGUGGUGCAUGGUUGUCGUCAGCUCGUGUCGUGAGAUGUUGGGUUAAGUCCCGCACCGAGCGCAACCCUUGAUCUUAGUUGCCAGCAUUUAGUUGGGCACUCUAAGGUGACUGCCG
rnacentral:rRNA from 1 species